rnacentral:snoRNA from 1 species
GAGAAUGAUGAUUUCUCAGACUAGAGUCUGACACUGGUCCUGAUGUCAAAAGGCUU